UACGAGGGGGGCGAGCGUUGUUCGGAAUUAUUGGGCGUAAAGGGUGCGUAGGCGGCCUGACAAGUCUGAUGUGAAAUCCCUGGGCUCAACCCAGGGCCUGCAUCGGAAACUGUCGGGCUUGAGUAUGGGAGAGGUGGGUGGAAUUUCCGGUGUAGCGGUGAAAUGCGUAGAUAUCGGAAGGAACACCUGUGGCGAAAGCGGCUCACUGGACCAUUACUGACGCUGAGGCACGAAAGCUAGGGGAGCAAACAGG
rnacentral:rRNA from 1 species